GCCUUGCUAGCUAAAUCGGUAGAGCGUGAGACUCUUAAUCUCAAGGUUGCGGGUUCGACCCCCGCGUGAGGCU
rnacentral:tRNA from 1 species